rnacentral:rRNA from 1 species
GAUGAACGCUGGCGGCGUGCCUAAUACAUGCAAGUCGAGCGAACGGACGAGAAGCUUGCUUCUCUGAUGUUAGCGGCGGACGGGUGAGUAACACGUGGAUAACCUACCUAUAAGACUGGGAUAACUUCGGGAAACCGUAGCUAAUACCGGAUAAUAUUUUGAACCGCAUGGUUCAAAAGUGAAAGACGGUCUUGCUGUCACUUAUAGAUGGAUCCGCGCUGCAUUAGCUAGUUGGUAAGGUAACGGCUUACCAAGGCAACGAUGCAUAGCCGACCUGAGAGGGUGAUCGGCCACACUGGAACUGAGACACGGUCCAGACUCCUACGGGAGUCAGCAGUAGGGAAUCUUCCGCAAUGGGCGAAAGCCUGACGGAGCAACGCCGCGUGAGUGAUGAAGGUCUUCGGAUCGUAAAACUCUGUUAUUAGGGAAGAACAUAUGUGUAAGUAACUGUGCACAUCUUGACGGUGCCUAAUCAGAAAGCCACGGCUAACUACGUG